rnacentral:rRNA from 1 species
AUCUUCUCUACUGAAAGAGCUUUACAACCCUAAGGCCUUCCUCACUCACGCGGCGUUGCUGCGUCAGGGUUUCCCCCAUUGCGCAAAAUUCCUA